UACGGAGGGUGCAAGCGUUAUCCGGAUUCACUGGGUUUAAAGGGAGCGUAGGUGGGUUGGUAAGUCAGUGGUGAAAUCCCGAAGCUUAACUUCGGAACUGCCAUUGAUACUAUCAAUCUUGAAUUCUGUGGAGGUAAGCGGAAUAUAUCAUGUAGCGGUGAAAUGCUUAGAUAUGAUAUAGAACACCAAUAGCGAAGGCAGCUUACUACGCAGACAUUGACACUGAGGCUCGAAAGCGUGGGGAUCAAACAGG
rnacentral:rRNA from 1 species